CAAAAAUAGCCAGGUGGAGGAACUGACUGUGGUACUGAAUGACAGCACUCUCGAUUCCACAGCAGCAGGCAAGUGAUGGAACAAUGAACUGACAGAACAGUAGAUUCAGCACAAUGGCAGAAGUAAGGUUACAACUUUUACUCUUCAAGAGUGGCCUGAAGGUAGCCUGGGAGUCACAGCUUAAAAGCGUGCUGCACGGGACAGCAGCCCAUUGUCGACCAAUGCCCAAGAUGAAUUUCACCCUCAGAACAGAUAUGUCUGCAGCAAGCACAUUCUGGUAUAGGGCAAAAACAACAAGAGAAAA